UUGCUUUGGUAGCACAUAUACUAGAACUGGAAUGAUAUAGAGAAGAUUAGCAUGGGCUCUGCACAAGGAUGACAUGCAAAUUCAUGAUGCAUUCCACAUUUUU